GUCGGGCCGCAACGGUUCUUUCCCGCGAGAACACCAGGCGUGCGCCUGCGCAUGCGGAGGGCUGGCGCACGCGCCUCAGCCUCGGUCUCAUUCAUUGGCUGCUUGCGGUGCCUCUUACCCUCCCACCAGCCUGUUCUUUCUUUCUUUAGGUCUUCAUUUCCCGCCGUUUUCUACCUUGUACUCUCCUUCAUCCCCACCCCCAAAUCAGGAAGCAGAUGUUUUAGUCUCUAGGCCAAACUUUGCAGUUACUACUAAAUGGACAGAUUUUUAAACUAUUUAAUUCAGAGAGGCUGCCUUAAAUUUCCCGUUUGGCCCAGGUUAUACCCUGACCUGCGAAAGAAGGAUUUACAGCUUCUUGUAUUGAGUGUGUAAAGGAAGGUGUGUGCCCUUGCGCAGAGCUGGGCCUGUCUCUCCAGUGCUUUCAGCCCGCCUUUGCCCCUCACCCACACCCUAGCCAUCUCCACUUAGUCACGCAUUUGGCUCCCAACCUGGGUGGGACGAAACCUCACACUGAUGGAAAGUUUCCUUUUGAGAGGAGAAAAAAUGAUGAAAAGAAAAUUCUAGCAAAUGAAAAAUGAUUUGCAAGGCUUCUCCUGUACUUGCUAAAUGGGAAACUGAGGCCCAGAAAAGGAAAAGUAUUGUGCAAGACCACACAGCGAGUGGAUGGUAGAGGGGUGCUUCAAACCAGCGGUGUUUGCCUCCAAGAUCUGCAUGAUUCCCCAAACUCCAGUCAGGUCUCCCUGGUCCCCGCUGCUCCCUGCAGAGGUCUCAACAAACGCCUGGCCUGCCUGCACCAUGCAGCCUGGAAGCCCCUGGCCCAUCGCCAGCUCCUACCGUCACCCGUGAGGUCCAAUAUGGUGUCGUCCUCCCCUCGAUCGUCAGAAACCAUCGCUCUGUAAAUUCCCUUGUCCUUUUUGGACAACUGGAAAGAAGGAUGAGCGAUGUUGGUGUCAGCAUGGGCUCCAGAAGGAGAGAUGGAUACCAAAUCCGGAGGCCUGGGCUCCAGGCCUGCCCCUCACUCUCUGUGUGACCUCAGGCAGCUGCUCUGAGCACGACACAGCCUCACUUUGCAGAGCUUGUCUGGGCCUGGCCCACCUUUCACUCCCUGGGGGUUCCUGGAUGGAGGGACCCCCACCACCUGCAGUUCCCCAGGAGAAAGUGUGUUUUCUCCUGCCCAGGACAAGGGGGUCCUUUUGGCCCAUGUUUGUCAGCCCCAAAUUAAGUCUGAACAAACACUCAGCAAAGCAAGAACUUGAGUUGUGCUUUCAAGGCAAGGUCCAGAGAUCAGAAGUGACCUCUCAUUACACAGCACCUUCCUUCAGCCCUCAUCUCUCAAUACUUCCCACGAGGACCAUCUCCACACAGUGGGUUUGGGGCAGGAUCCAAGACAGAGGCAGCUCUUAACCUGAGGAUUGAGGUGCUGAGCCCCAAAAGUCCUCUCUUAUGUCCUCACCAUCCCAGGAAGGCUCCAAGGUCUCAGCCAAACCUAGGGUGGGUGACUGGAGUGGCUUCUGACCCCACCUUCUAGCCUUAUGUCUUUGCACUGAAACCCUCUGAGCCUCAGUUUACUCAUCUGUAAAAUCAUGACAUCAUCCUUGUCCUGCCUGUAUGCUACAGCUGCUGUGGGGAUCAAGGGAGGUAACUCUUAGGAGGCCAGAAAGUUUGCACCAAUGGGACUGAUGAUUAUAAUAAAACUCCGUAACUAUGAAGCACCUACUAGUGCCACAGCCU